UACAGAGGUCUCGAGCGUUAGGCGGAAUCACUGGGCUUAAAGCGUGUGUAGGUGGAUCGUUAAGUACCUUGUGAAAUCCCACGGCUCAACCGUGGAACUGCUUGGUAUACUGGUCGUCUUGAGCCAUCUAGGGGUUGUCGGAACAAAUGGUGGAGCGGUGAAAUGCGUAGAUAUCAUUUGGAACGCCAAAGGUGAAAACAGACAGCUGGGGAUGUGCUGACGCUGAGACACGAAAGCCAGGGGAGCGAACGGG
rnacentral:rRNA from 1 species